rnacentral:rRNA from 1 species
UACGUAGGGGGCAAGCGUUGUCCGGAUUUAUUGGGCGUAAAGAGCGUGUAGGCGGCCAGGUAGGUCCGUUGUGAAAACUCGAGGCUCAACCUCGAGACGUCGGCGGAAACCCUCUGGCUAGAGUCCGGAAGAGGAGAGUGGAAUUCCUGGUGUAGCGGUAAAAUGCGCAGAUAUCAGGAAGAACACCCGUGGCGAAGGCGGCUCUCUGGGACGGUACUGACGCUGAGACGCGAAAGCGUGGGGAGCAAACAGG